rnacentral:sRNA from 1 species
UCAUGCUUGAUCGUAUGGACUACACAGUC